AAUUUUUGGAGUGUACUUUUGAUUUUAUGGUGAAAUUGAAGAUUUUUGUGUGUGUGUGUUUAAGAUUAUAAGAUUUAGUGAACGAACCAGAUUAGUACCUGGUUAGAUAAAAAUUAAAAGAGCAGGAGUAAAGUUGAGUUUAAACUGUAAUAAUAUUGGCAGGCUUUUAAAUUAUCUUUGGAGGCUGAGUAGUAAUUGAGAGCCCUCAUUUACAACUCUUAUUUUGGGCUCAUGUAUGAUCGUUUAUUUUAUUCUUAAGGAUUGUAAUUUUAGUUUUUAUCUGUUAAAAUAGAUAUAUACUUGGUUUAUAUAGGAGGUUAAUUUGGCCUACAAUGUUGUAUUUUUUGGAUAGUGCUGGCAGUUGGUACUUGAAAUUGUAAAAGACAGUAAAGCCCUUUUAAUGGGGGAUUGAAGUUUAUUUAAAAGCGG
rnacentral:rRNA from 1 species